rnacentral:rRNA from 1 species
AGCGAACGCUGGCGGCAGGCCCAACACAUGCAAGUCGAACGAACUCUUCGGAGUUAGUGGCGGACGGGUGAGUAACACGUGGGAACGUGCCUUUUGGUUCGGAAUAACUCAGGGAAACUUGUGCUAAUACCGAAUGUGCCCUUCGGGGGAAAGAUUUAUCGCCAUUAGAGCGGCCCGCGUCUGAUUAGCUAGUUGGUGAGGUAACGGCUCACCAAGGCGACGAUCAGUAGCUGGUCUGAGAGGAUGACCAGCCACACUGGGACUGAGACACGGCCCAGACUCCUACGGGAGGCAGCAGUGGGGAAUCUUGCGCAAUGGGCGAAAGCCUGACGCAGCCAUGCCGCGUGAAUGAUGAAGGUCUUAGGAUUGUAAAAUUCUUUCACCGGGGACGAUAAUGACGGUACCCGGAGAAGAAGCCCCGGCUAACUUCGUG